rnacentral:lncRNA from 1 species
UAUUUUUUUUUUUCAGUAUUCAUAAGGAAUAGUAUUUUAUUCCAUACUCUGUAGUAUAUGAGUAAUAUUAUUUCGUCUCGUAUUCCUGAUUAUACCCUCAUCUUGUUAAAGUAUUGCUUCUAUACUUCGUUAAAUUAGUAGAAUAUCCUUAAAAUCUGCGUUUCAUCUAGUAUCGUUUCACAAGGAUAUUUUCUGUACAUUCUUGUUAAAUUUUAAUCUUUUCAUGCCAGGGUAUUGUCCAUGAGUACUAUUCAUUUAUACGGUACUAUUCACAAAAGUACUAUUCAUGGGUACUAUUCAUAAAGUACUAUUCACGAAGUACUAUUCACGGGAUACAAUUCCCGAAGAUUGGGUACUAUUCACCUGGGGACUAUUCACCCGGAGUACUAUUCAUGACAAAAAUUAAUUUAUUUUUGGUCCAAAUCAUUUUUGGUACAAUAUCAUUCUUGAAUUUUACUCCACAAAGCAGUAUCAUGUUGACAAUUUGAACAUUAUUGAAUUAUGGAUAAAUUAAAUUAUAAAUCUUUAAAAAUUUAUCCUUUAUUUCUUUUAAUUGAAUUCUUAUAUCAUUGUCAUCAUCCUCAUGCUUAUAUUAUGAUGAAAGUCAUCUUUGGCUUACGUGCAUAAAUGAAUUGUUGAUUGGUAUGAUUAUGACCAAGGAUUAUUCAGUAUAAUCAUGACCCGUAAUGUUACAAAUAAUGUGGUAAAAGUCCUCAUUGGCCUGUAGUUUAUUGAUGGACAGUUGUUGGUAU